rnacentral:rRNA from 1 species
CACGAACGCUGGCGGCAGGCUUAACACAUGCAAGUCGAGCGCCCCGCAAGGGGAGCGGCAGACGGGUGAGUAACGCGUGGGAAUCUACCCAUCUCUACGGAAUAACGCAUGGAAACGUGUGCUAAUACCGUAUACGUCCUUCGGGAGAAAGAUUUAUCGGAGAUGGAUGAGCCCGCGUUGGAUUAGCUAGUUGGUGGGGUAAAGGCCUACCAAGGCGACGAUCCAUAGCUGGUCUGAGAGGAUGAUCAGCCACACUGGGACUGAGACACGGCCCAGACUCCUACGGGAGGCAGCAGUGGGGAAUAUUGGACAAUGGGCGCAAGCCUGAUCUAGCCAUGCCGCGUGAGUGAUGAAGGCCCUAGGGUUGUACAGCUCUUUCACCGGUGAAGAUAAUGACGGUAACCGGAGAAGAAGCCCCGGCUAACUUCGUGCCAGCCGCCGCAGUAACAC